rnacentral:rRNA from 1 species
AGUGAACGCUGGCGGUAGGCCUAACACAUGCAAGUCGAACGGCAGCACAGUAAGAGCUUGCUCUUACGGGUGGCGAGUGGCGGACGGGUGAGGAAUACAUCGGAAUCUACUUUUUCGUGGGGGAUAACGUAGGGAAACUUACGCUAAUACCGCAUACGACCUACGGGUGAAAGCAGGGGAUCUUCGGACCUUACGCGAUUGAAUGAGCCGAUGUCGGAUUAGCUAGUUGGCGGGGUAAAGGCCCACCAAGGCGACGAUCCGUAGCUGGUCUGAGAGGAUGAUCAGCCACACUGGAACUGAGACACGGUCCAGACUCCUACGGGAGGCAGCAGUGGGGAAUAUUGGACAAUGGGCGCAAGCCUGAUCCAGCCAUACCGCGUGGGUGAAGAAGGCCUUCGGGUUGUAAAGCCCUUUUGUUGGCAAAGAAAAGCAGCAGGUUAAUACCCCGCUGUUCUGACGGUACCCAAAGAAUAAGCACCGGCUAACUUCGUG